GCAAGGGGAGCGGCAGACGGGAGAGUAACACGUGGGAACGUACCCUUCAGUUCGGAACAACCCAGGGAAAUUUGGGCUAAUACCGGAUACGUCCGUAAGGAGAAAGAUUUAUCGCUGAAGGAUCGGCCCGCGUCUGAUUAGCUAGUUGGUGAGGUAACGGCUCACCAAGGCGACGAUCAGUAGCUGGUCUGAGAGGAUGAUCAGCCUCACUGGGAGUGAGACACGGCCCAGACUCCUACGGGAGGCAGCAGUGGGGAAUAUUGGACAAUGGGCGCAAGCCUGAUCCAGCCAUGUCGCGUGGAUGAUGAAGGCCCUAGGG
rnacentral:rRNA from 1 species